GACGAACGCUGGCGGCGUGCUUAACACAUGCAAGUCGAACGGAAAGGCCCUUCGGGGUACUCGAGUGGCGAACGGGUGAGUAACACGUGGGUGAUCUGCCCUGCACUUUGGGAUAAGCCUGGGAAACUGGGUCUAAUACCGAAUAGGACCACGCGCUUCAUGGUGUGUGGUGGAAAGCUUUUGCGGUGUGGGAUGGGCCCGCGGCCUAUCAGCUUGUUGGUGGGGUAAUGGCCUACCAAGGCGACGACGGGUAGCCGGCCUGAGAGGGUGACCGGCCACACUGGGACUGAGAUACGGCCCAGACUCCUACGGGAGGCAGCAGUGGGGAAUAUUGCACAAUGGGCGCAAGCCUGAUGCAGCGACGCCGCGUGAGGGAUGACGGCCUUCGGGUUGUAAACCUCUUUCAGCAGGGACGAAGCGCAAGUGACGGUACCUGUAGAAGAAGGACCGGCCAACUACGUGCCAGCCGCCGCCGUAAGAC
rnacentral:rRNA from 1 species